UUUCAGUGCACAAAACGGUUAUCAAGCUAAGCUGUAUUGACAAAGAAAUUAGGAAUUCUCUUCAAUUGGGAAAACAGAACUUGCCACAGUGUUUGAAAGCUAUAUCAAAGUUUGGAACCCUGGCUGUGCAUGGAGCAGCACUAAGAAAGUAUCCUGAAAUUAUAUCAACUGUGAAGAAGUGUCGGCACUUUGCCUACUGUGGGCGCAUCAGGCAGAAGGCAGAACUUACAUUGUGUACAUUCAGGAAGACAUUAGAAAGAGGGAAGAAAAAGACA